rnacentral:rRNA from 1 species
GACGAACGCUGGCGGCGUGCUUAACACAUGCAAGUCGAACGGAAAGGCCCUGCUUUUGUGGGGUUCUCGCGUGGCGAACGUGUGUGUAACCCGUGAGUCUCCUGCCCUUUACUUUGUGAUAUCUUCAGGCAACUGGUGCUACUACCGGCUACGUGCUCCUGCUGCUUGGUGGGGUUUGGAAAGUUUCGGCGGGUGGGGAUGGACUCGCGGCUUAUCAGCUUGUUGGUGGGGUAGUGGCUUACCAAGGGUUUGAUGGCUAGGCGGCCUGAGAGGUGGACCGGGGACAUGGGGACUGAGGGACGGACCAGAGGGGAACGGGAGGCAGCAGGGGGGAAUAUGGCACAAGGGGCGGAAGUGUGAGGAAGAAACGCCGCGAGCGGGAUGAAGGCCUGCGGGGGGGAAACGGCUGUAGGCUGAGACGAAGCGGGAGUGACGGUAAUGGGUAAAGAAGCACCGGCUAACUACGUG